GUAGGUGAACCUGCGGAAGGAUCAUUAUCGUGGGGCUUCGGCCCUAUCGUGAUAGAACCCUUGCCUUUUGAGUACCGUCCGUUUCCUCGGCAGGCCCGCCUGCCAAUGGGGACCCCAAUAAACCCUUUUUAUGUACCUGUAUCAGUCUGAAAAACAAACAAAAGUUAAAACUUUCAACAACGGAUCUCUUGGUUCUG
rnacentral:misc_RNA from 1 species